AUUCUUCAGUUUACAUCAACAUUAUUUCUUCCAAAGGUACCCGGUAGUAAAAAACAAAAUACAAAAGCUGAUGAGAGAAUAAAACAGACAACCAGACCAAAAUGGCCUCGAAGAGCAGCAUUAGCAAAAAAAAGUUAUAAGGAUUACUCAAAUUCAGAGUCAGAAAGUGAACAGGAAUCUUCACAGUACUUACGUCGGAAAGAAAAAUUCAGAGUACAGCAAGAGCACAAAAAUGGCCAAAACAAAGCUGUGAGUCAACACAAGGAACUACAGAACAAUGUUUCUACAGAGCCAAAAAAGGGAAUAUCAAGAAAUCAACAGCAAAUAUUUACUAAAUCAAAAGACCCUAUAAAACAAAGAAAAUUAGAAAUGUCACCAGUAGCCUCACCUGAAAGCCCAGCAUCUGUUGAGACGAUGAGAUGUGUGUAUUAUUUUGUAUUUUAAUUUUUAAAGUUGUCAGCUCCAGUUUUGGAUAUGAAUUAAUUAAUGUCUCUCUGUAAUAUUAAUUCAUUUCAAAUAAUUGCUUUAAAAAUAUAUGUACUAUAUUCUCUUUACGUCCAUUUAAGGUACAACAUUAUAUGUUAAAAUGCAGAAAAUACAUAGGUGUACUGUCAUCAUUGUUAUAGAUAUUAUGGUUGAUAUUUCAUACCAGAGUGUAAUAGAAAUACAAUGUAUCAGUGAAAAGAACAGUUGGUAAUUUACUUUCUAUUAAAAUAUAGUAUAAUGAUGAGCAAUGCUAAGUAAAGCAAUUUAUUUCCUGUUGUGUAGACUUUAAGGACAAAGCACUUACAUGAAAGUAACUCAAUUGUGAUAUGAAAAUAUAUUUCUAAAUAUCCAUCUGUGCCAUAUGAAAGGUAUAGCAUUUUAUUACAAAAUCCAAAUAUUAUAUGGUCAUGGGCAAAUACAUGUUUUUUCUUUAUAUGGUCAACACUCGAAGUUCCAGUAUGUAUUUUACUUGACUGCUUAUUCAGUUUCAAAGGCAGUUUUUAAUAUGAAGGUAUACCUUAUUAAAGGAUAGGAUUUUCAUGGGGAAAUCCCAGUCCAUUCAGUUUGCAAUUCUUUUUUUCUAACACUAUGGACUGUAUUUUCUAAAAAGUAUUAUAGUUCUUAGGUCAAAUCUGGACCGUUGAGCACCCACAACUCCUGUUCAAGGUAACUGGAGUUACAGGUUCUCAAAGACAUUCAAGACAACCCCUUGAAAGCCAGCAACAUGACUUUCUGGCCAUCCUUCCAUGGAACUCUCAAUGACAUCAGUGGGAAUUCUGUACACAGAGAAGACUUGUGAUAUGAAGUAUAAAAGAAAAAGGUGUUAAGGCAUAAUAUCCUCAAUUAAGUGUUUAUACUUAAAAGGUGCUGAAAAAGUACCAGAGGAAACAUUUACCCAGGAACAGGUUUCCUUGAAAAGAUCAUCAUCAUCAUAUCUUCAGGACUCAACACCAGAAAAGAGGGAGUCCUUACGCAUUGUGAAAGGAAUUUCAGCUAACAAGCUUUAUACAACAAAAAAGAAUAAGCAAAGUAUACAUCUAAAACAAUCCCCUGAAAAUGUCAAAAAGUUGGUAUUUGGAAAUGAAAGUUUAUCACCAGUUUUAAGUUCACUUUCUUUGGUAAGAAUUUAAAGUUACUCUUUACAAUUAUUUCAAUGUCUGCAUUAUCUUAAGUAAAGUAUAUAGUAUUCAUUAAUUAAUCAGAACAGUUUCUUCAUUUGGAUGUUUUCAGGGGAACUGAUUUAGUCUAUUUAUAGUGAAUGAGAAUUACUUCUCAUAGUAAUAGGAAUAGAAUUAGUAUGCCAUUCUAACAAGAAAGCAGGCCUGUAGAAGGUGGUUACAUUGUAUUCAACCAGGUGCUUUUGUAAGUGCAAAAUUCCAUGCUCUUUUUCAGAACAGAAGUAUCCAAAAAGAGAUUUAAAAGAUGGAACAUUAAAGCACAGAUAUGAUAAAUAUAAUUUAUAUUAUUUUAUAUUUAUGCAGUUCAAGUAUUUAACUUUAAGAUUUGUUGUAUGGUCUCUUUUUUUACUUGGUGUCAUGAUUAGGACAGAUGCGUAAUCAAGAAAAUCAAGUAGUGAAAUAGGCUGUUCUAAUCAGGAAUACUAGUGUAAUAAUCAUGGGAGGAAAUUUACAAUAAUACAAAUAGUAUUGCUAAGAGGUCCCAACCAAGAUUGGGGCUGGCCCCCUUCUUUUAGCUGCUUUAUGUAUACAUAGUAAGAAGUAGUCCUUGCUUCAAAGAACUUGCCAUCUAAAUAGACAAGACAAAGGAUGGGAGAAAAGAAAUUAUUCCCAUUUUACAGAUGAGGAACUGAGGCAGUGAGAAAUUAAGUGAGUUGCUCAAGGUCGUACAGGAAGUCUGUGGCAGAGUUGGGACCUGCACUCAGAACUCCUGAGACCCAGGCCAGUGCCUUACCCACCAGACCAUCCUUUCUUCUCCCUCACAUCUCUGUUUAUUUAUUGGUCAGUAGAAACAAACACUGAUUUCCCCAAGAGAAAUAAAACUGAAUAUCUUCCACA
ensembl:lncRNA